AAAAAUAAAUCACAAAACUUACCUCAACUAGUGUCCAAAUAGCGCGAACGGCGUUGAGGAGUGACCGGACCUGCAAUGGAGCGGAGGUGGCGGCGUCAGGCGGGCUGGAGCGGCGUCAAGAGGGGCUGGAGCGGCGCUGCGAACGGAGGAGAGGAGAGGAGAAGCAGAAGAAAGAAAGAAGAGGAAAGAAGGAGGGCGUCUGGCGUUUAAAGCCCUAAAAUUUAUCGAUCGCAAUUUUUAACUCUGCGAUGUCGUUUUACUUCGUUAUGAAAUUGCGACCGAUUUGCGACCAUUAACUUCGGUCGCAUAUAAUCGGUCGCAAAUAGGUUGCAAAAUUUAUUCCUU
rnacentral:lncRNA from 1 species